CAUCCCCAUGAUGGAUAUUUGUAAAUCAAAAGUAGUGGGCUGACAUGCAUUGAUGAAAAACAAUGGUCUCUGAGGGAUG